rnacentral:piRNA from 1 species
UGGUGAGGACCCAUUCCUUAGGGCAGUGC